GUGCUCACUUUGGCAGCACGUAUACUAAAAUUGGAACGAUACAGAGAAGAUUAGCAUGGCCCCUGCACAAGGAUGACACGCAAAUUCUUGAAGCGUUCCAUAUUUUU
rnacentral:snRNA from 1 species